rnacentral:lncRNA from 1 species
GUUCUCUAGCUUUUUGGGAGAAAAUAAGAUGAGAAGACAGAAAGUGGUUUGGGGGUCACUAAAUGCCAUUUCAAUAAUUUGGAGAAUGCUUGAGAGCUUUUAUUGGAUUGAUGAUCAUGUUUGUAGCUAAGUAUUCACCCUCUGCAGCCCCGAUCGUGAAAGCGAUGAGGAUGAAGAGCCCUACGAGGAGACAUUUGUCUAAAGGUGAUAGGAGGGAAACGUGAAAAUAUGUCUAAAGUUACCAAGACAUGAAGGCUCACUCCAUUUGGGGGCAAAAAAUAGAGAGCACCGGAAAUGAUUUUCAAACGACAAAUCUGAUCGAUCCAUUUCAUGGCGCCCAUCUUGCUGGUGGCUUGCUCACAUUGACACAGGCUGAAGAGAUCAUCCGCAAAUUAGGAGGAAGGCCUCACCGGAACCAUCACACAGUCUUCCUUCUCUGACAUUUCCCAAACU